CCUACGGGAUGCUGCAGUGGGGAAUAUUGGACAAUGGGCGAAAGCCUGAUCCAGCCAUGCCGCGUGUGUGAAGAAGGCCUUCGGGUUGUAAAGCACUUUCAGUGGGGAAGAAAGCCUUGGGGCUAAUACCCUCGAGGAAGGACAUCACCCACAGAAGAAGCACCGGCUAACUCCGUGCCAGCAGCCGCGGUAAUACGGAGGGUGCGAGCGUUAAUCGGAAUUACUGGGCGUAAAGCGCGCGUAGGCGGUCUGAUAAGCCGGUUGUGAAAGCCCCGGGCUCAACCUGGGAACGGCAUCCGGAACUGUCAGGCUAGAGUGCAGGAGAGGAAGGUAGAAUUCCCGGUGUAGCGGUGAAAUGCGUAGAGAUCGGGAGGAAUACCAGUGGCGAAGGCGGCCUUCUGGACUGACACUGACGCUGAGGUGCGAAAGCGUGGGUAGCAAACAGGAUUAGAUACCCCUGUAGUC
rnacentral:rRNA from 1 species